rnacentral:rRNA from 1 species
AUUGAACGCUGGCGGCAGGCCUAACACAUGCACGUCGGGAGAGCGGCGGCCGGGAGAGUAAUGUAUGGGGACUGCCUGAUGGCGGGGGCUAACUACUGGAAACGGUAGCUAAUACCGCAUACCAUCAACUAACCCAUAUGGGAUUAGCUAGUAGGGGAGGUAACGGCUUACCUAGGCGCCGAUCCCUAGCUGGUCUGAGAGGAUGAUCAGCCACACUGGGACGGAGACACGGCCCACACUCCUACGGAGGCAGCAGUGGGGAAUAUUGCACAAUGGGCGCAAGCCUGAUGCAGCCAUGCCGCGUGUAUGAAGAAGGCCUUCGGGUUGUAAAGUACUUUCAGUCGGGAGGCGUUACCGACAGAAGAAGCACCGGCUAACUCCGUGCCAGCAGCCGCGGUAAUUC